rnacentral:rRNA from 1 species
UGAGUAAUCUGCCCUCCACUUCGGGAUAAGCGCCGGAAACGGCGUCUAAUACCGGAUAUGACUCCUCAUCGCAUGGUGGGGGGUGGAAAGCUUUUUGUGGUUUUGGAUGGACUCGCGGCCUAUCAGCUUGUUGGUGAGGUAAUGGCUCACCAAGGCGACGACGGGUAGCCGGCCUGAGAGGGUGACCGGCCACACUGGGACUGAGACACGGCCCAGACUCCGUACGGGGAGGCAG